rnacentral:rRNA from 1 species
AUGCUCGCUCGCUCGCGCGUGGGUGGGUGGUUUCUGACGGCGGUGCUGUGCUCUCUGUGUCUGUUCUGCAGCGGCGAGGCGGAGCAGAUCGAGUGGAGCAAGAUCCAGACCCCCACCGAUGAGGUGGUGGUGCCCUACGACACCCUCGCGCCCCCUCCCGAAGAUCUCGACGCCAUGAAGGCGCUGCUCGACAAGCUCGUGGUGCUCAAGCUCAAUGGAGGCCUCGGCACCACCAUGGGCUGCACCGGCCUCAAGUCAUUAUUGGUGAUGUUGCUGUGGUUGUCGGAGGUGUUGCUGAUGCAUCUGGCGGAGCUGUAG